CAUGUGUAUAGGUGGAGGCCUUGGAUACUGGUUCUACCCGAUGGGUAUUCCACAUCUCAAUACAUGU
rnacentral:tRNA from 1 species